rnacentral:rRNA from 1 species
CGGCUCAGUAACACGUGGAUAACCUACCCUCAGAUCUGGGAUAACUCCGGGAAACUGGAGAUGAUACCGGAUAAUCCGUGAACGCUGGAAUGCCUUACGGUUGAAAGCUUUAGCGUCUGAGGAUGGGUCUGCGGCCGAUUAGGUAGUUGCUGGGGUAACGUCCCAACAAGCCGAUAAUCGGUACGGGUUGUGAGAGCAAGAGCCCGGAGAUGGAUUCUGAGACACGAAUCCAGGUCCUACGGGGCGCAGCAGGCGCGAAAACUUUACACUGCGCGAAAGCGCGAUAAGGGGACCUCGAGUGCGUGCGCAAAGCGUACGCUUUUCAGAUGCCUAAAAAGCAUCUGGAAUAAGGGCCGGGCAAGACCGGUGCCAGCCGCCGCGGUAACACCGGCGGCUCAAGUGGUGGCCGCUAUUAUUGGGCUUAAAGGGUCCGUAGCCGGACCAGUUAGUCCCUUGGGAAAUCUUACGGCUUAACCGUAAGGCUGCCAAUGGAUACUGCUGGUCUUGGGACCGGGAGAGGCAAGAGGUACCUCAGGGGUAGGAGUGAAAUCCUGUAAUCCUUGAGGGACCGCCAGUGGCGAAGGCGUCUUGCUAGAACGGGUCCGACGGUGAGGGACGAAAGCUAGGGGCACGAACCGGA